UACAGGUACAGUGAUAUUAUAUAUAGUGUUGUGUUUAAUCACUCUGUCUGUUACAGGUACAGUGAUAUUAUAUAUAGUGUUGAUGUGUUUAAUCACUCUGUCUGUUACAGGUACAGUGAUAUUAUAUAUAGUAUUGAUCUGUUUAAUCACUCUGUCUGUUACAGGUACAAUAAACAUUGUCUAUAAUCCUAAUCUGUUUAAGUGGUUCUGGAAAAUUGUCUUGAUUUGUACAGAAAUAAUAUAAUUAAUAUGAAUGUAUGGUAUAAUAUGAAUGUCUGAAUUGAUGAUUUGAGAACGUCCACUCCUGCCUCAUUUGAA